rnacentral:rRNA from 1 species
GAUGAACGCUAGCGGCAGGCUUAACACAUGCAAGUCGAGGGGUAUAUAGUUUUCGGAUUAUAGAGACCGGCAAACGGGUGCGGAACACGUACGCAAUCUGCCUUUACCUGGGGGAUAGCCCAUAGAAAUGUGGAUUAAUACCCCAUAGUAUUAUUUGGUGGCAUCAUUAGAUAAUUAAAGAACUUCGGGUGAAGAUGAGCGUGCGUAAGAUUAGCUAGUUGGAGGGGUAACGGCCCACCAAGGCGACGAUCUUUAGCGGAUGUGAGAGCAUGGGCAGCCACACGGGCACUGAGACACGGGACAGACUCAUACGGGAGGCAGCAGGGAGGAAUAUUGGUCAAUGGGCGGAAGCCUGAACCAGCCAUGCCGCGUGAAGGAUGAAGGCGUUCUGCGUUGUAAACUUCUUUUAUCUGGGAAGAAACCAUCUUUUUCUAAGGAUGUUGACGGUACCAGAGGAAUAAGCACCGGCUAACUCCGUGCCAGCAGCCGCCGUAA